GCAACAUUGGAGAAAAGCUGGUUAUAGCUGUGUUUGAUGUGUCCCUCGAUUCAGGACUUUGAUUGAAAAAGAAGAAUAAAGUAUGGAGGAGCAUUUCAGACAUUGUUCAUCAUAAGCUAUUCAUGUUUAUUACACUCUGAACAGUAAUAGCCUAAAGCAACAGGGGGCAAACAGGCCACAAGAGACUGACACAUAAUGACAUCCAACUCUCACCUCGGCCUCCACAAGUCUGUUGAUGAUGGCCUGCAGGGUCUCGUGCCUGUGACAGGUCAGCACUCCUUCAAAGUACUGAGAGCGGUGUUGCAAGGCUUUGGUCACUGUCA